AGUUGUAGGAAUCUCUUGCAUAUUUUGCAUAUUAACCCCUCAUGCAAUGCAUGGUUGCAAAUAUUUUCUCCCAUUCUAUAGGUGGCCUUUUCAUUUUGUUGAUGGUUUCCUGUGCUGUACAGAAGCUUUUUUUUGGUUUGAAGAAGAACUUCAACUGAGGCCUGAAUGACAAGCCGAAAUUAGCUAUGUGUCGGAAGAAGGAUAUCACAGAGCCCAGACUUUUGGCUGCAAGAAGUAUUUAGGAGGAUGGAGGGGUAGGAGUGGAAGGAGGAAUGAAGAUGGGAAGAUCAAUAAAAGGAGUGUCGUUUCAUG